UGAUUCUCUUUCCUUAUAGCGACUUCCAACACUAAGCACAAGUAGUUAGCGCAGCUACAAAUACAAAUACAACAAGUUCAAUCUUAGCUUCUAUCCUUGGCAGCAAAACGAUACAAUAACUUUAGUAAAAUGGAGAAAGCACAGCUGGUGUUCGUCCCCUGGCCUGGUAUGGGCCAUCUUGUAUCCGCAGUGGAGCUAGCAAAGCAUCUUCUCACCCGCGACCACCGACUCUCCGUCACUGUCCUUAUCCUCCAGCUAUCUUUCAUCAACUCCAAGCAUGUUCAUAAUUACAUUGAAUCGCUUCAAGCCUCCUCCUCCACUAUAUCCAAUUCUCUCCGAUUCAUUGUUUUGCCGAAAGAUGAGCCUGAAUUAUUUAAUUUCACUUCUUUUAUCGAGAGACAGAAACCCCAUGUUAAAGAAGCUGUGUUAAAGAUCAUUCAAUCAGAGUCGACCACUGACUCGCCUUCACCUCGACUGGGAGGUUUUGUUUUAGAUCUGUUUUGCGCGCCGAUGAUUGAUGUGGCUAACGACUUUGAUGUUCCGUCUUACAUUUACUUUACUUCAAGUGCAGCUUUUCUUGGUCUCAUGCUUUAUUUACAGAAGAUUCAUGAUGAAGAGAAAG
rnacentral:misc_RNA from 1 species